CAUGAGAAUGGCAUGCAUCUGUCUAGUAGUAAUUCUCUCUAAAGGUUACACAAAGGCGUGAGCUGCCAGGAGAGAAAUAAAGGUGUGAGAUGUGGCUGACAUACUGAAGCCAUCUUAAGCGCCUGGAAUGGUUCCAUCAACAUUGCUUCAGGAAGAUCCUUUGCAUUAGAUGGGAAGACAACAGCGCCAGUGCCAGCAUCCUCUCUGCAGCUAACAACCAGCAUUGAGACAAAGAUCAUGAAACAUCAACUCCAAUGGGCUGGCCAUUGUGUGUGGAUGGCUGACACUCGUCUUCUGAAGCAAGUCCUCUUCUCUCAACUCAGUCAUGGCAAGAGGACCCAUGGAGGACAGAGGAAGCAUUACAGGGACACCCUGAAAGCAUACCUUAAGAAGGGUGGCAUCAACCUUACAAAAUGGGAAGUGCUGGAUGGUAACAGGUCUCAAUGGUGCUGCACCAAAAAUCAAAGAGAACCAUCUUGCUCAGAAAGCCAAGAAACGGUACAGGAGGAAGGAAAGCGCACAACAUCCUGGCCAACAGCUGUCCCCGCCUCCCCACCCAGCUACCACCUGUCAUAUUUGUGGAAAAAUUUGCAGGGCACAGAUUGGACUCUUCAUCCAUCUUGAAAUUCCCCAGUGCCAGCAGUGCAUACUCUCAUGGGUUGAGCUCACAUUACAGAGGGGGAAUUUACUCAGGUUAAUAUAGACUCAAGAGUUUUGGGUUACAAGUUUGGUGAAAAAUAGAGCAGAAUGUCCAGCAGUGUGAGGUUGUCCUCUUCACUCCCUGAUUGCACCCUUCUUACUUUGGGGACUUUGGACCCUAUAGCGAUGCUUCCUUUGAAUUUGAGCUGGAUGAGGAACAUGUAGCAGACUCAGUAAUUCCCCUUCUAUGCUCCAUUGGUUUGAGGCCUCUCUUUGUGGAGGAGGGAAA